rnacentral:rRNA from 1 species
UACGGAGGGUGCGAGCGUUGUCCGGAAUCACUGGGCGUAAAGGCGCGUAGGCGGCCGUGUAAGUCACUUGUGAAAUCCCGGGGCUCAACUCCGGGCUGCAGGUGAGACUGCGUGGCUAGAGCACGGUAGAGGCGAGUGGAAUUCCCGGUGUAGCGGUGGAAUGCGUGGAUAUCGGGAAGAACACCAGUGGCGAAGGCGGUUCGCUGGGCCGUUGCUGACGCUGAGGCGCGAAAGCGUGGGAGCAAACAGG